GAUGAACGCUGGCGGCGUGCCUAAUACAUGCAAGUCGAGCGAACAGAUGAGGAGCUUGCUCCUCUGACGUUAGCGGCGGACGGGUGAGUAACACGUGGAUAACCUACCUAUAAGACUGGGAUAACUUCGGGAAACCGGAGCUAAUACUGGAUAAUAUAUUGAACCGCAUGGUUCAAUAGUGAAAGACGGCUUUGCUGUCACUUAUAGAUGGAUCCGCGCCGCAUUAGCUAGUUGGUAAGGUAACGGCUUACCAAGGCAACGAUGCGUAGCCGACCUGAGAGGAUGAUCGGCCACACUGGAACUGAGACACGGUCCAGACUCCUACGGGAGGCAGCAGUAGGGAAUCUUCCGCAAUGGGCGAAAGCCUGACGGAGCAACGCCGCGUGAGUGAUGAAGGUCUUCGGAUCGUAAAACUCUGUUAUUAGGGAAGAACAAAUGUGUAAGUAACUAUGCACGUCUUGACGGUACCUAAUCAGAAAGCCCCGGCUAACUACGUG
rnacentral:rRNA from 1 species